AUGACAACUUGACGAGAUCUUGACACGCACGUUGGAAGUGUACGCGUGUUUGCACCUCGAUGAGCGUUGCACAAUAACAAAGCUCCGUUGGUGAGCGUAUUGAUUAAUAAAGGUAUUUAAGGCAUUAUCCAAUUAGUCAUGCCAUAAUGUCUCACUUUGUUGGAAGCUAGGUGAAGUCCUUGAGUGCUUCAAGGACUUUGUUUUGUUUUAGCAGUAUUUUUUCCUUCAACAAUUAAUCUUGCAUCUCCAACCGUGGAAUGAGUUACAUGUGACUCGAGACAAACAAACAGUGCAAUUGCAACAAUAUAAUUAGUCAGCGAUAUAAAUUUGCCAUAUCUUCAUGCCAACCACAAGGAUUCUGCUUUUGCACACACCUUCAUUAUUAAUGUGUUUCUUCAGGUAUGGUCACUAUCAGCAGCUUUACACACAGUGUGCAUCGUGAAUACAUCAAUCCCAGA